GAUUGGUCUUUUUAGGCUGAACCUGCUCCAUCCUGUCUGAUCAUGGAAGCAAAGCAGCUUUGGCUCAGUUAGUACUGUUAUAGGAGAGCACCUGUGAACAGCAGGUGAUACAAACA
rnacentral:rRNA from 1 species